rnacentral:rRNA from 1 species
AUGGGCGCUGCGAAGUCCACCCAGCUUAUCAGGGGCGAGCUCGUUACUGUUGUCGGCUACCGAAGUCCGCAUUGGCAUUGCUGCAGAGUGCGCAAACACAAAUGGAACCAAGUAUCCAUGCACAAUAAUAUGUCGAACGAAGAGAUGGAUCAUACCCGACUACUACGCCUGGGGCGUUCCCAUUGCGUUCUUCUACCUCAACCGCUUCUCGGAGCUCCUAGUUCACAAGCCAGGAGGGGCUGCUCCUUAGCAUUCUUGCUACCUUCUUAUCACCCUUGA